rnacentral:hammerhead_ribozyme from 1 species
GCACUGCUAACGAGUCCCAAACAGGACUAAACAGCUUUCCAGUGC